rnacentral:rRNA from 1 species
AUGAAGCCGGAAUUGCUAGUAAUGGCAGGUCAGCAUACUGCCGUGAAUACGUUCCCGGGCCUUGUACACACCGCCCGUCACACCAUGAGAGUUGGGAAUACCCGAAGCCUGUGAGCUAACUAUUUAUAGAGGCAGCAGUCGAAGGUAGAAUCAAUGAUUGGGGUGAAGUCGUAACAAGGUACC